rnacentral:rRNA from 1 species
GGGCCCGCACAAGCGGUGGAGCAUGUGGUUUAAUUCGAUGAUACGCGAGGAACCUUACCAGGGCUUAAAUGUAGUAUGACCGGCUUGGAAACAGGCCUUCUCUUCGGAGCAGAUUACAAGGUGCUGCAUGGUUGUCGUCAGCUCGUGCCGUGAGGUGUUAGGUUAAGUCCUGCAACGAGCGCAACCCCUAUUCUUAGUUGCCAGCGGUUCGGCCGGGGACUCUAAGAAGACUGCCAGCGCAAGCUGAGAGGAAGGUGGGGAUGACGUCAAAUCAUCACGGCCCUUACGUCCUGGGCUACACACGUGCUACAAUGGUAGAGACAGAGGGCAGCCACCUGGUGACAGGGAGCGAAUCCUUAAACUCUAUCUCAGUUCGGAUCGGAGUCUGCAACUCGACUCCAUGAAGUCGGAAUUGCUAGUAAUCG